rnacentral:rRNA from 1 species
GCUACCAUGCAGUCGAACGGCAGCACAGAGGAGCUUGCUCCUUGGGUGGCGAGUGGCGGACGGGUGAGGAAUACAUCGGAAUCUACUUUUUCGUGGGGGAUAACGUAGGGAAACUUACGCUAAUACCGCAUACGACCUACGGGUGAAAGCAGGGGACCUUCGGGCCUUGCGCGAUUGAAUGAGCCGAUGUCGGAUUAGCUAGUUGGCGGGGUAAAGGCCCACCAAGGCGACGAUCCGUACCUGGUCUGAGAGGAUGAUCAGCCACACUGGAACUGAGACACGGUCCAGACUCCUACGGGAGGCAGCAGUGGGGAAUAUUGGACAAUGGGCGCAAGCCUGAUCCAGCCAUACCGCGUGGGUGAAGAAGGCCUUCGGGUUGUAAAGCCCUUUUGUUGGGAAAGAAAUCCAGCUGGCUAAUACCCGGUUGGGAUGACGGUACCCAAAGAAUAAGCACCGGCUAACUUCGUGCCAGCAGCCGCGGUAAUACGAAGGGUGCAAGCGUUACUCGGAAUUACUGGGCGUAAAGCGUGCGUAGGUGGUCGUUUAAGUCCGUUGUGAAAGCCCUGGGCUCAACCUGGGAACUGCAGUGGAUACUGGGCGACUAGAGUGUGGUAGAGGGUAGCGGAAUUCCUGGUGUAGCAGUGAAAUGCGUAGAGAUCAAGAGGAACAUCCAUGGCGAAAGCAGCUACCUGGACCAACACUGACACUGAGGCACGAAAGCGUGGGGAGCAAACAGAUUAGAUACCCUGGUAGUCCACGCCCUAAACGAUGCGAACUGGAUGUUGGGUGCAAUUUGGCACGCAGUAUCGAAGCUAACGCGUUUAGUUCGCCGCCAGGGGGAGUACGGUCGCAGACUGAAACUCAAGGAUUGACCGGGCCCGCACAGCAGUGGAGUAUGUGGUUUAUUCAUGCAACGCGAGACCUUACCUGG